UACGUAGGGGGCAAGCGUCGUCCGGAUUGACUGGGCGUAAAGAGAGCGUAGGCGGUUUUGUAAGUCAAAUGUGAAAGCCUGUGGCUUAACCACAGAAAUGCAUUUGAUACUGCAUAACUUGAGUUCAGGAGAGGUAAGUAGAAUUCCUAGUGUAGCGGUGGAAUGCGUAGAUAUUAGGAGGAAUACCAGUUGCGAAGGCGGCUUACUGGAAUGACACUGACGCUGAGGCUCGAAAGCGUGGGGAGCAAACAGG
rnacentral:rRNA from 1 species